AUGCCAGACUCCUACGGGAGGCAGCAGUGGGGAAUAUUGGGCAAUGGGCGCAAGCCUGACCCAGCAACGCCGCGUGAAGGAAGAAGGCUUUCGGGUUGUAAACUUCUUCUGACAGGGAAGAGUAGAAGACGGUACCUGUCGAAUAAGCCACGGCUAACUACGUGCCAGCAGCCGCGGUAAUACGUAGGUGGCGAGCGUUAUCCGGAAUGAUUGGGCGUAAAGGGUGCGUAGGCGGUCGAUUAAGUCUGGAGUGAAAGGUACCGGCUCAACCGGUAUAGGCUCCGGAAACUGAUGGACUGGAGUACAGGAGAGGGUGGCGGAACUCCAUGUGUAGCGGUAAAAUGCGUAGAUAUAUGGAAGAACACCGGUGGCGAAGGUGGCCACCCGGACUGUAACUGACGCUGAGGCACGAAAGCGUGGGGAGCAAAUAGGAUUAGAUACCCCCGUAA
rnacentral:rRNA from 1 species